rnacentral:rRNA from 1 species
UCUGCGACGUCGGCUUAUAAACUAUCACUGCGCGUAAAAAGCAGUGGCUUGGAAGAUUGCCAGCUAACGCAGGCCGUGUAGUNUAAGGUGGUGGCGGCGGCGGCGGCGGCUAGACAGCGAUGGCUUCUUCUUAAUGUGGCUUAGACGGCGGCGGCGGCGGCGGCGAUGACGCUGUUGUCAUGACAGCAGCACCGCUUGCCACCAGAUGAUGCUUUUUGUUUUCCUUCCACCACCACCACCACCAAAUGUUGUGGAGUGCUGUUGAUGGUGUCAGUGGUGGAGCGCCGCUUGUCUUGGCAACAAUGAGUCCACAAGCCGUGGGUUAUUGUUUGUGCGUGCACGUAAUGUGGGCUCUAGACGGCAGGUAGGCGUGCGACGUGAUGUUGUUGGUCGUCGUCGUUGUUGGUGCUGCUGCUGCUGCUGCUGCAGCUGCUUUGAUGUGGCCUAAUGUGUGCCUGACCUCGGUUCAGUCGUAG